UGCGGAGGGAUCAUUACACAAUAAAAUAUGAAGGCUGUACGCGGCUGUGCUCUCGGGCCAGUUUUGCGGAGGCUGAAUUAUUUAUUACCCUUGUCUUUUGCGCACUUGUUGUUUCCUGGGCGGGUUCGCCCGGCCCCAGGACCACAUCAUAAACCUUUUUUAUGCAGUUGCAAUCAGCGUCAGUAUAACAAAUGUAAAUCAUUUACAACUUUCAACAACGGAUCUCUUGGUUCUGGCAUCGAUGAAGAACGCAGCGAAAUGCGAUACGUAGUGUGAAUUGCAGAAUUCAGUGAAUCAUCGAAUCUUUGAACGCACAUUGCGCCCUUUGGUAUUCCAAAGGGCAUGCCUGUUCGAGCGUCAUUUGUACCCUCAAGCUUUGCUUGGUGUUGGGCGUUUUUUGUCUUUGGUUGCCAAAGACUCGCCUUAAAAGGAUUGGCAGCCGGCCUACUGGUUUCGCAGCGCAGCACAUUUUUGCGCUUGCAAUCAGCAAAAGAGGACGGCAAUCCAUCAAGACUCCUUCUCACGUUUGACCUCGGAUCAGGUAGGGAUACCCGCUGAACUUAAGCAUAUCAUA
rnacentral:rRNA from 1 species